UUAAUUCUUCAUUCAAUUUUGAUCAAAAUCUUAAUAUUUAGUUCUUAGCCGUUGAUCAAAUUAAUCCAACGGCUGAGAUCACAUUUCUCUUUGCUUUUCAUUUUUAGGCUAAUAGAAAAUCCUAGCCUUAUUCCAUUCAACAACAGCCGCAUCUCUCUACUUUCUCUCUCUAUCUCCCCCUCUCUGUCUAAGGCCCGCCUGCCACCGCAACACCGGCUACCGACCGAAAAAACAACGGCAACAUCAACCCUGACAACCACCAUCAUCAUUUCUCACCUCUCUUAACACUUGAAAACGUUUGAGGUUUGAAACCACUGUUGAAGUUGAUUUAGUGAUUUACUUGUAUAUUCUUUUGUUGCGUUCACAACUGCUAGAAGUAGUGCUAUAGAGAUGGCUCGAUCCGCUGAUAAACGAAGCGUGAGAAACAUUGUGGAAGACAGUCGGGGUAACCGCGAUUCAACUAUUUCUGGCUUGCAAGAAAGGUUGUUUCGUACAUUUUCAAGCUUAGGUGCCAAAGAAUCAUUAGGGAAGGUGGUAGAUUCAUCUGAAAUACUGACCAAAAUGUCCUUUCCCAAUCAGUGCAUGGUUCGUCUAAAAUAAGGCAUCAAUGGCUUACUUCAUCCUCGCAAAGGGAUAGCAAGAAUGAGUGGUGGGUUGUUUCAAAGUUUCAAGCUUUACCUUCUCCAUCUGUUUCUACUGCUUCUUU